rnacentral:rRNA from 1 species
AGGACGAACGCUGGCGGCGUGCUUAACACAUGCAAGUCGAGCGGAAAGGCCCUUCGGGGUACUCGAGCGGCGAACGGGUGAGUAACACGUGAGUAAUCUGCCCCUAGCUCUGGGAUAGCUCCGGGAAACCGGGAUUAAUACCGGAUACGACCACCUUAGACAUCUUUUGUGGUGGAAAGAAUUUCGGCUAGGGAUGAGCUCGCGGCCUAUCAGCUUGUUGGUGGGGUAACGCCUACCAAGGCGACGACGGUAGCCGGCCUGAGAGGGCGACCGGCCACACUGGGACUGAGACACGGCCCAGACUCCUACGGGAGGCAGCAGUGGGGAUAUUGCGCAAUGGGCGAAAGCCUGACGCAGCGACGCCGCGUGGGGGAUGAAGGCCUUCGGGUUGUAAACCCCUUUCAGCAGGGACGAAGCGAAAGUGACGGUACCUGCAGAAGAAGCGCCGGCUAACUACGUGCCAGCAGCCGC